UACGAAGGGGGCUAGCGUUGCUCGGAAUCACUGGGCGUAAAGCGCACGUAGGCGGCUUUCUAAGUCAGGGGUGAAAUCCUGGAGCUCAACUCCAGAACUGCCUUUGAUACUGGGAAGCUCGAGUCCGGAAGAGGUGAGUGGAACUCCGAGUGUAGAGGUGAAAUUCGUAGAUAUUCGGAAGAACACCAGUGGCGAAGGCAGCUCGCUGGGACGGUUACUGACGCUGAGACGCGAAAGCGUGGGGAGCAAACAGG
rnacentral:rRNA from 1 species